rnacentral:lncRNA from 1 species
UAAAAUCAGAGCUCUGCCUUGUUGUGAUAAAGUUCGUUUGCUUGGAAAAACAAAUGCUGAAAGCCAGUUUUUAAACUCUUUGUGCAGAUGACCAAAGCAAUUGACUUGGCCAGGAAAAGGUGAGGAAACUUCCACCGAAAACAAAACAGAAAACAAGCCUCAGAACCUUGCCUGGAAGAAUUCAACUGGUGCCAAAGCUCUGUGACAACGUCAGUAGCUCCUGGUGCACCAUCUGCCUCCUCGACCCCCAGCAGGCACAUCGGUCGUGACGGU